rnacentral:sRNA from 1 species
GUUUUUUACCAGAUAAGCUUUUUAAAAAAUUAUGUUCAACAAUUAUCUUUUUAUUGUAGUUAAGUUUUUCAAAUUCUUGCUGUUUUCAAUAUCUCCUGGUUUCAUCAUCCCUACUGAGAAAUUACGUAUACAAUCUUAUAAUUAAUUGUUUGCUUUGGUCUUCUUUUAUUUUCCUGCUUUAUGAUAAAAUUUUCAUUAGCCUAAAUGUGUUAUUAAUUUUUCUUGUUUCUUAAAUAUUUGUUCAAUAUUAUAUUCACAACUUUAAGUUCAAAGGAUCAGUUUUCUGAACAGAUCUUCAUACACUAUAAAUUCCUUGUUGUAUGACCAUCUCUAAUAAUUUUAUUUUUAAUUUUUAGGUAAUGCCUGAUUAUAAUUUAAAUAAGGACGUUGACAAAAAUUAAUGAACCAUUUGCACAAAAAAUAUUUGAAUCAACAUUUAUUCACUCCUGGAAGAUAUUAAAUAUUUCAACAGAAUAUUCCAAUGGAUGGAACUUUUUCCAGCAUCUGGAUUAUUUUCCAGGUUAGACACAUGUUUGUCCACAGACUUGUCUUCUCUGAAUGAAAUCCAAAAGUUGUUUUUACUCCUAGAACCCUCAAAGCCUCUCUGUUUUUUGUCUAUCUAUUUUGCUCACUGUUGUUGAAUCUAUAUUCUUCAAAUGUGCCUUUACCAAGUCUCCAAAAUCACUGUGAGUAUAUGAUUCUCUGGGUAUGAGGUUGUGUAGUCAUGUCAAAUUAAAAUUUAAUAUUCCACAUACAGUCUGCACAGACAAAUAUAAGAAAUUUUGUAAUAACAUUUGUCUUGGUUAGUGUUGAUAGCUGAAUGCGAUUUCUUAUUCUACUGUGGAUCAAUAGAUCAAGAUUCCUUCAGAGAGGAAAGGCAAGUACCCAAAGGUUUUCUUCUAAUGACUGAAACACGUGGUCAGAAGACACACUAUUAACACUCGUCCUAAUAAUUUUUCAGCUAAAGAGUUGGGAAUGUAAGGAAAGGAAAUGGCUAGACUAUUCAAGAUUCUACUGGCAGAUUAUUUGUGAUGGUUGGUCUCUUUUUGCCUCCUAGAACAUUCAAGAGUACUUCAAGAUGCAAAGGAAAGAAGAGUUAAGAAAAGAAGGCCUUUCAUAACAUAUUGUUCCACAGGGGCUCUGAGCCCCACCAGGACAAAGUUUUCACAGUUGCUAGAGUUAACAAGACACGAAACCUACUAGGAAAAGACCUGACUUCUAUUUGCCAUGAUGGAAAACUCCCCACAGUAAUUCUGGAAUGUUUUAUGUUACUAUCUGCCUUAUGGACAAGAUCCUGCUUCUUAAAUGAACCCUAAUCUCUUCAAUUCCAUCAGCAUGAAGAGAAACAAUUGUGCAUCAAAUCAUUGGCUAUACAAUAAGGAUAUGCUGUCUCUCAACAAAGAAAAUGGAACCAAAACUGAGGGUAUAUUGGCAAUAUCACUAAACAUAGCAUCAUGUCAAACAAUAAAGAAGUUGGAUUGUGAAAAAGAUGUAAACAUAAAAACAAUCCAUCUGUGCAUAUGGUAGCAUGUAUCUUAAAGGAAUUACUUCAAAUUAUCAAAGGAAAUUUGCUGACAUCUAGACUAUAUGAAGAAUGACUUGGGGUACAUGACCAGGUCAAUGAAGAAGAGAAAGUAGCCACUGUGCAGAGUCCUUAUUUCAAAUACCUCCCACCAGGACCAAAUGUGUAUGGUCUUGUCUAUUGAUAAGACAGAAAACCUACUUGAAAAAGAGCUGACAACAAUUUGUGAUGAUCGAAAUCUGCCCACAGAAAUUCUGGAUAUGCUGUUCUUCAUCCAAGAAAAGGGGCCCCAAAUUCAGGAUAUAUCCAUAAUUUCACACAACAUAGCAUCAUGAAGAAGUUGGAUUGUGAAGAAGAUGUAAACAUAAAAAAAUAAUCCAUCUGUGUAUAUGGUAGCAUGUAUCUUAAAGGUAAGGAAAGUCCUUGCAUCAUACACCCUCAGGAUUCUUCUCAAUCUAUUUGAGUAGUUUCCUUCAUUAUGCAUUCCCUUGAGUGGUAGUAGAUAACAUAUAAGAGAAAUCUGAUAAAAAAGCAAAAACAAAAACAAAAAGCUGUCAUAAUGAGCAGUAAUGUAACUAAGUAUCUUUCAUUUGAUUCUUCCACAAGUAUAUGGAGAGUCACUUCAUACAUGCAUAUGAGUUUCACCUGAUAUGCAUGCCUCCUCAGAUGCAUUUGUCUAAGAGUGUUCUUAAGGGUGUCACUCUCCUUUUUUUCUGAGAGGCAGGUUUCUCUUCCUAGGUAUAGAGCACGUGACUCCUUCAUGUAUAUCUUUGCUGUACAUACCCAGUAGAAUCUCUUGGUCUGCUUGUCCCUCUCACUCACAAAAUAUUGGUAUCCAAAUGAAGGUUCACAUGGCUAUGUAACACGUAUUCUUAAGUACUGGGCCAUUCCUUCAGCACCAUAAUUUUAUUGUUAUAUUUAAAAAUUAAAAUCAUUUCACUCCUCCCUAUUCCUUGCUCUAAUGUUGUUUCCCUUCAAUCUCCCACUUCUGAUAAAAUACAUUUUCUUUAACUGUUAUUUUGUAGAUACAAAUAAAUCCAUAAAUAUGUUCAAAUAACCUGAUGAGUCCAUUAUCCUUGUUAGUAUCUGUACUAUUUCCAAAGGAACCAACUGUGAUUGGCUUACAAAUUAGGGGGUUCAUUUUUGAGAAAGACCAAUUUCCUCACUCUUCAUAGUAUUUAUUUGCAUGUAGUUCCUUAUCUAAAAGUUUGACUUCAUGAGAUUUCCUCAUUUUGAUUUAGUGUUACUAACUUGGAUAAUGUUUUGUUUAGAACUUGCUUAAACAACCAGACUGUGGGACUAACAAAAGUGAAGCUUCUCCUGCAUUUCUCUGAGGCCCAAUCCCAAAGCAGAUAUCCUGAUCCUCUGGAAUUACUUCAAAUCACUUAAGAAAGUCUGCUGACAUCUCGACUAUAUGAAGAAUGACUUGGAGUACCAGACCAAGUCAAUGAAGAAGAGAAAGUAGCCACUGUGCAGAGUCUUUUAGAAAACUACUGCACUCACAUGUUACUCUUCUAAGACAACGUUUCAAAUUAUUAUAUUAAGUUGAGAGGAAUUCUUCUGUGAACCAGAUGACAGCUUAUGAUUUAUCUGUUGUGCCAAGUAUCCUAUAUCUGCCUAGUUCCCACAAUAAACGAUUAGCAAAUGAUAUUGCCAAAAAGAUUUCUCUUAUAAACUUUCCAAUUGAAAACUCCCUGAAAUUAUUUGAAGAAGACUCAGUUUUAGUUUAUUAUGAGACCUCAUUAUUUCACCCUUAUGGAGUGGACUCUGAUUCCCAGAAUAAUCUUUCUAAUCCAGAAUCAGAGAAACCUGAAAAAUACAUUUUUUUAUAAAUCAAUUAAUUACUUGUGAAUCUGAUACCCGCAAAGUCAAUGUAUACAUAGCCCCACCAGCACCAAACAAAAAGCAACUUGUUGGGAAUUAUCAAAUUCUGCCAGCACCAAUAAAGAAAAAAACCCUUCUUAGCAAGUCUCUCAUGGAAAUCUUUCUUCUCCAAUACUGGAUAUAUUAGCUAUCAUUGCUGAAAAGGGACAAAAGUCAUAUAAAAUACUAAGAACACUAUCAGUUGAAUCACACUGGUACACGAGGGAUAAAAUUGAUGCUGAAUAAGAAGAGGUGAAUUGGAGUCAAGAAUCAGUCCUUGUUAUAGUAUCUGCUUUAUAGGGGGAUUUCAUUCUAAAUAUAUAAAGAAACUUGCUUUCUACAGAUUUAUGUAAUUUAUUUGGUGUCUCUGAUCAAGAAAUUUGAUCAAAAGAUUCUGCUAUCCAAAGAUAAUGAUACAGUAAAUUCUUCGGGAACCAUACAAAGAUAGAAGAAAUGCAUUUUUAAAGUUUUCUACCACAGAUGCCACAACAAAACUUCAUCCUACUAAAACACCUUAUUCAUGUGUUAUUAAAGAUUAAAAUUUCUCCCAUGAAGACUUAGACUCUUAACAGUUUAUCUGUUCACAUAACCCCUAUAUUCCAUGGCAUUCUACUUCCAGCAACUCGUUAUUUGGGAAUGACCUUUCCAAAAAGAUUUCUAUUGAAGAAAUUCUAACUGAAAACUAGCUCUAGAUAUUUGGAGAUGACGAUCAUACAUUUUAUAAAGAUAUUCCAAAAAGGUCUGAUGACAUAAAAAUGUCUUCAGGUUCACUAAAUACUGUUGAUAGAGCAUGUGCUAUGAAAGAUGCCAUAAGUGACCCCCCUGAGAAAACCUUCUUUAAUGCUAAUGCUGAAAAAUUAAAGAUUCCAUUUGCUGCCCCUCAGAAGGAAGGUCCUACAGAGAGCAGGGCACAACAAACAGCUUCUAUAUGUUCCGUGUUUAACAGUGGAAUCAAUGGCAGAGGAUGACUGAAGAUGCUUACAGCUCAUUCUACUUCAAAGUUCCUUUCCACCUCCCAUUCAACAAUAGAAGAAUAUAUCAUUACAAGACACUGCAGCUUUUAUAUUUUACAUUAUUGUUACAAAGAGUUGUCACUGAUCAUUUUGACUUUAUGCUAUAUAUUACACAUUCUUUAUUAUUAUAAUGAAUGUUAUUAAACUAUAAUAUUGAUUAAACUCC